AUGGGUCUCUCCCCGCAGAGCAGACUUUGUCAUUGCGAGGGCUCUGGGUGUCCUUGCAGAAUGACUCCUUUUCCCCUUCUCUUUGCCAGAAACAGGAUUUUCCUUGGCUCUUCACCUGAGAAUCUGGGGGUACAACACAUGACAGCAUGGGGCUCCCCUAAGACUGUGGUCCCAGGCAUUUCGCCUCUCCAACUCGCCCACCUGUCACCCAGUGUGGACAUCGCCACCUCUGCGUCCCUGCCAUUUCCGGCUGCAGUGCUUCUCCCCAGGCUCCAGUGGGGUCCUGCUGAAUUCGUCUCAUGUGCAACCCGCUCCUUCCUGGCGAGUCCGGCGACCCGUGUCCUCGAGAAAAAAAACCACAGUUGCCUGAUGCCUGCUUCGUUCACGCCUCGUCUGAGCUGAUGCAGUCUCCUCGUUCCUGUUUGGGGCCUAAAGCAUCUAUUUCGGAUCUUCGGGAAGCCAAAGGCCACAUCUGUGACGACGCCCUCAGAUUUUACCCAGAAAACCCACUUGGUUGGGCUUUGCUUCGCUGAUGUCUUGUCCUGUUUUCAAGCUGCAGUUGGGAUGGUAGGGGGACGUGUGACCCUCUGCUGGGAUGGAGGCCCAGGGUGGAGGAGCUGGUGCCUGCUGGGAGGCCCAGGGCAGCCUGAGAAGGAGGGCUCUAUUAUCUUGGAUUUGCUGCUUGUUUGGAAGAGAAAAGCGUGCCGCUGUUUUGCACAUUCAUUUUCUCGACAAAGUAACAGGUUCCUGGAAAGACCACGUCUUUGGCCUGUCUGAUCGCUUAGAAAGGCUGGGAGUCCACAGGGUGGGAACCACGACGCAGCUCCAUCCAGAAGAGCCAGUUCUGUCAACCGCACACAUUUGGUUUGACUUGGAAAGGUCACGGUUCCCCAGAGCCUUAGAGUUGGGGUCCCAGUGGGGAGCAGAAACCAGGGGCCAGAAAAAACCAGAAAUAAGACACAUGACACAUGGCUGAUGCAAAAAGGGGGCGUUUAUAGAAGUUUUGACUCUGACAUGGGGAGCGUGGGCCUUGGGGACCAGCUCGAGGCCAAGAUUUGUCCAGUAGCAGCUUUGCUUUGGAGAAAACCCUUUCUAAGAAGAGGCCGGAGGCAACUGUUUUCUUAUUAUCACCGCCGGCGUCCGUGACAGAAGGCAAACCACAUUGAUUCCUGCUGCCGACUCAGAAAGGAGAGCGGCCAGAAGGCCCUGGGGUUUUAGACACCCCCAGACAGUUCUGACACAGGGAGGGACUUCAUUCUCUCCAUCUUCUUCCCAAGUGAGCUUUAGGGAAAAAAACGACAGUUUUCGAGCUUCCUGUCAUAGGAGGAGGCAGCCUUACUGAUUUCUUACUUACUCCUUUUGGUAGGGUUGGGGUUUCUUUCUGAAAUCAGAGUUAAUCUGGGA
rnacentral:lncRNA from 9 species